rnacentral:rRNA from 1 species
AGUAGCUAUGUACGGAAAGGAUAAACGCUGAAAGCAUCUAAGCGUGAAACCAACCACAAGAUGAGUUUUCUUUUAAGGGUCGUCAAAGACUAUGACGUUGAUAGGCUACAGGUAUAAAGGCAGUAAUGUCAAAGCCGAGUAGUACUAAUUGCCCGUAAGCUUUAUCUUU